GAAUUUUUUUACCACAUGGGCUAUCAUCCGAAUACCUUAUGACCACGGAGACCAUUUAUCCAAUUAGGCCUUGUUAAAGUAGUGAUAGUCCCCUAAGUCUUCAUUUUGAGGAUGGUUGCGGUCCUUGUUAAUAAGAAUUAUUAGAUUAAUCUACCGAUAGAUUAACUUAUAAGCUUAAACUAUCUCUCUUAUACCUAAUCAAAAUCCGCAUUAUCUUUCCCCACCUAACAACAAAAAUUCUCUAUAAUUCCUACUUUACCCAUGUACAAUUUUUCUUUUCAAUUUGAAAAACCUAAAAAUUAGAAUCGACGCCACCACUAAACCUCUCUUGUACGGCGCCACCACCUCGCCCUUCUCAUUCUCUCAGGUCGUCCAACGCAUUGGCCCACACAACCCAUUCGGUUAUCUUUGAUCCUCCAACAAAUUGUUCACGUCAUCCGCCAAUAAUAACAAAUUGGAUGAAAAACUAAAAAACUUAAGGCUUAUUAUAUUAAGGCCUAAUCGGAUAAAUGGUCUCGUGUU
rnacentral:lncRNA from 1 species